rnacentral:rRNA from 1 species
ACUCCUGCGGGAGGCAGCAGUGGGGAAUAUUGGACAAUGGGCGCAAGCCUGAUCCAGCCAUGCCGCGUGAGUGAUGAAGGCCCUAGGGUUGUAAAGCUCUUUCACCGGUGAAGAUAAUGACGGUAACCGGAGAAGAAGCCCCGGCUAACUUCGUGCCAGCAGCCGCGGUAAUACGAAGGGGGCUAGCGUUGUUCGGAUUUACUGGGCGUAAAGCGCACGUAGGCGGACUAUUAAGUCAGGGGUGAAAUCCCGGGGCUCAACCCCAGAACUGCCUUUGAUACUGGUAGUCUUGAGUUCGAGAGAGGUGAGUGGAAUUCCGAGUGUAGAGGUGAAAUUCGUAGAUAUUCGGAGGAACACCAGUGGCGAAGGCGGCUCACUGGCUCGAUACUGACGCUGAGGUGCGAAAGCGUGGGGGGCAAACAGGAUUAGAUACCCUGGUAGUCCCA